CCUGAACGCUGGCGGCGUGGCUAAGACAUGCAAGUCGAACGGGUGUAGCAAUACAUCAGUGGCGGACGGGUGAGUAAUGUAUAGCUAACGUGCCCCUUGGACAGGGAUAGCCAUCCGAAAGGAUGGGUAAUACCUGGUGACAUAACCUGAUCGCAUGGUCGGGUUCUCAUAGGCCGUAAGGUGCCGAGGGAGCGGGCUAUAUUGUAUCAGCUAGUUGGUGAGGUAACGGCUCACCAAGGCGACGACGCAUAGCCGGACUAAAAGGUUGUCCGGCCACAUUGGGACUGAGACACUGCCCAGACUCCUACGGGGGGCUGCAGUAACGAAUCUUCCGCAAUGCACGAAAGUGUGACGGAGCGACGCCGCGUGUGGGAUGAAGUUCUUCGGAAUGUAAACCACUGUCAGGGGUUAGAAAGUUCUGAUCAACCCCAGAGGAAGGCACGGCUAACUCUGUG
rnacentral:rRNA from 1 species